UUUUAUACGACCGCAAAAAAAUUUUUGUGGUCGUAUAUUGGUAUGACGUUGGCGUCGUCGUCGUCGUCCGAAUACACAUUAGUUUUCGCACUCUAACUUUAGUUUGAGUGAAUGGAUCUCAUUGAAAUUUUACCAUAAGGUUCAAUACCACAAAAGGAAGGUGGGGAUUGAUUUUGGGGGUUAUGGUACUAACAGUUAAGGAAUUAGGGGCCAAAAGGGGCCAAAAAUAAGCAUUUUUGUAACUUCCAGACAUAACUUGUGUGUAAGUGUAUGGAUCUCUCUGACAUUGUACCACAAGGUUCCAUAUCACAAAGGGAAUGCUGGGAUUGAUUUUGGGGGUAAUUGUCUCCAAAUUUUAGGAAUUAGGGGCCAAAAAGGGGCAAAAAACAAGCAUUUUUCUAGUUUCAUGACAAUAACUUGUUUGUAAGUGUAUGGAUCUUUAUGAAAUUGUACUACAAGGUUCCAUAUCACAAAGGGAAGGCUGGGAUUGAUUUUGGGGGUUUUCCCUCAAAAUUUUAGUAAUUAGGGGCCAUAAAAGGGCAAAAAAAACAUGCAUUUUUCUAGUUUCAGGACAAUAACUUGUGUGUAAGUGUAUGGAUCUUUAUGAAAUUGUACUGCAAGGUUCCAUAUCACAAAGGGAAAGCUGGAAUUGAGUUUGGGGGUAAUUGCCAUAAACGUUUAGGAAUUUGGGGCCAAAAAGGGGCCAAAAAACAAGCAUUUUUCUAGUUUCCAGACAAUAACUUGUGUUCAAGUGUAUGAAUCUCUCUGAAAUUGUACUGCAAGGUACCAUACCACAAAGGGAAAGCUGGGAUUGAGUUUGGGGGCGAUGAAUCAUAAGGGGGUUCAAAAAAUUGGGGGGGGGGGAUUUUUUUUUUCUUUAACAUUUUCCAUUUUAAAUUGGUUAUUUCUGAUUUAUAUAUAAAAGCAAAUAAUAAUGAUAUGGUUUGAAUAGGCAUACAUGUGAACCUCCCGACGGGAGUACAAUAAUCCCGUUUUCAGGGGUCUCCUCCCGACCUCCCGUUGAAAAAAUCCCGUGUAUGAAAUUUUUCAUGAAUGAAAAAUUUCUGCCCAACGUAACAUCUCAGGCAUCUGGUGUAACUGACAUUACCUGAAGUUAUAUUUUACCUGUAAAUCAAUUAACAUGCAUAAUUAUAUGGCUUCACUUGUCAGCUUGGGUGUCAAACAUACUGGUAAGCAACGAUUUUACCUCAGGCUAACUGCCGUUGUGUAACAAAAACUGUGUAUUUAUUGGGUUACUUCCCUUGAUUUAUCCUGUUUUAAGUUACUUUCCUUUUAAUAAUGAAAAUUUUUAAAAGAAUAUUAAUAAAAUAUAAAUUGAACAAAUAAUCAUAAAAGGAUGGUUAUUAAAUGAUUUUCAAUGUCUUAGGACAAAUAAAAAAAUAAUAAUUUGAAAAUUAUUUGAGGAUUCUAUACUUCCUUUUAAGGCUUAAAUUGAAAUUUAUAUAAUAACUAUGACCCUAACUUUACAGAUAGAAUGAAUUUCUGAGUUUGCAAAUAAAAACUAUUUGCAAGAGAAAAAAAAAAAAAUAAAAA